CCUACGGGAGGCAGCAGUGGGGAAUAUUGCACAAUGGGGGAAACCCUGAUGCAGCGACGCCGCGUGAGUGAGGAAGUAUUUCGGUAUGUAAAGCUCUAUCAGCAGGGAAGAAAAUGACGGUACCUGACUAAGAAGCCCCGGCUAACUACGUGCCAGCAGCCGCGGUAAUACGUAGGGGGCAAGCGUUAGCCGGAUUUACUGGGUGUAAAGGGGGCGGAGCCGGCUAAUCAAGCCAGAAGUGAAAACCCAGGGCUCAACCUUGGGAGUGCUUUUGAAAAUGAGUAGCUAGAGUGCAGGAGAGGUAAGCGGAAUUCCUAGUGUAGCGGUGAAAUGCGUAGAUAUUAGGAGGAACACCAGUGGCGAAGGCGGCUUGCUGGACUGUAACUGACGUUGAGGCUCGAAAGCGUGGGGAGCAAACAGGAUUAGAUACCCUUGUAGUC
rnacentral:rRNA from 1 species